rnacentral:rRNA from 1 species
AACGAACGCUGGCGGCAGGCUUAACACAUGCAAGUCGAACGCGUGUAGCAAUACACGAGUGGCGCACGGGUGAGUAACGCGUGGAUAUCUGCCUUUUGGUUCGGAAUAACUCCGGGAAACUGGAGCUAAUACCGGAUGGUUCCUUCGGGAUAAAGAUUUAUCGCCAAAAGAUGAGUCCGCGUACGAUUAGCUAGUUGGUGAGGUAAUGGCUCACCAAGGCGACGAUCGUUAGCUGGUCUGAGAGGACGAUCAGCCACACUGGGACUGAGACACGGCCCAGACUCCUACGGGAGGCAGCAGUGGGGAAUAUUGGACAAUGGGGGCAACCCUGAUCCAGCCAUGCCGCGUGAGUGAUGAAGGCCUUCGGGUUGUAAAGCUCUUUUGGCGGGGACGAUGAUGACGGUACCCGCAGAAUAAGCCCCGGCUAACUUCGUGCCAGCAGCCGCCGUAAGAC